CUUUCUUCUUUAUUUUCUUUUCUUUUUUCUCUCUGUGAAUUUUUUUUCUCUUCUCUCUCAUUUUUUUUCUCUCUCUCUCUCUCUCUCUUUCUCUCUGUGUUUUGGAUUUUAAGCUUUUCGUUUGUAUUAUUAUUAUUAUUUGGAAGAUCAUCUUGUUCGUCUUUGGAACGUUAAAAUUUCGGUUUUUUUUUCUUGGUGAUGAUGAUAAUCCCAAACUGGUUCGGAGCAUUAAUUUCGCUUUCACUGAACCAUGUGGUUUCUUUGUGCUAAUGAUCUAAUGGCCUUCAUACGACUGAUGAUGGGUUUGUGUUGUUGUUUGGUUGGUUGGCUGGUUCCCUGCAUCACUGGCUUAUUACAUGUUGCUUGUUGUUGAUUAGGAGCAAUAGAAAGAGAAAAAGAAGAAGAAAAAAAAUAGUUAACAAAAAACGCAACUUCAACUACACAACCAACUUUUGGAAUCUCUGGAAAACUACAAACCAUACAUACACUUACACCAAACACGCAUUUAUAGUGUAUAUUAUGUUCAAGAGAAACGACCCAACCAAUUUACGAUUCUCUAAUCAUUCCAGUCACUCACUCAUUUCUCUUUUUACACUUUAAAUUUAUGGUACUAAUUAAUUCUCAACCUUUUAACCGGCACAAUUAAAUUCCCGACGAUGACAAUAACUACCCUCAUAGUGACGAUAUUACACCGGUAACCUUUGUUUUUCUUUCUCUUUAAC